CCUGCUCCUGAAUUUGAGGCAACGGGGGUCUUUUUCUGUGACGUCAGAUAAUUUAAUCCCAACGGAACAAGAUGGCGCCGCACAGCGUGCUGAGGAAUCGGAGCCGGUGAGGACAGAUCUGUAACAACAACGUUUUGAACGGCGGGCUGUGAUGCCUGGCUGGGGGGCAAUGGAGACCCUUUGACUAGCUUCACCUGGAGGGGGUGCUGUGAGAGGGAGACCACAAGCAUACAGGUGUCCACAUCAAAGCAGGAAUUAUGGUACCCCCUCUGCUUUUCUACAGGUUGCUGUUCUCCCCAUGGACACUCAGGUGGCCUUUGACAGUCAGUCCACCAUCAGAGACCGUGUUUAACUCUCAGCACUGUGACCAGCUCUGUACAGGCAACCGCAGAAGCCAACAACCUUGCUGCCGUGGCUGGAGCCAAGGAAGCCUACGUCAGAAGAGCGGGUGCUGAAGCCCUUGAGCGAUCGCCUCAUGAAAGGACGCCAUCGAAGCGGAGUGUGGCCAACUCCAUCAGGGCUCGUCUGCCAGAGCCGGGUCCGCCGCACGCCAGGCUGAAGACGAACCGACCGGCUUCUGCUCAGCGUGCUUUUCCCAUGGACUGCAGGACAAAAGUUCUACUGCCUUCCGCUGUGGUUGGACAUUUCUGAACGCUGCCACAGCUUUGGCUCUACGUCUUACUACCAGCCCAUUGGCUCCCCUCCAACAUAUACUGCCAGCUCAUUGGCUCCUCUCCAACAUAUACUGCAUUCCACUUAGAUCCCCUGCAAGGGGUUCACCAGGGUAUUUGUCAUGUGAACGUCGUUCUCUUGAAACUAUAGUACUUUAUUCCUAAACAUAGGGUUUUAAAGUGAGAAUGUCUGUAUUAUCAAAGGCUGGCUUAGAAUGUGUUUUUAUGUUUUACUUUACAUUUAUAAGCUGGUUGUGCUUUUUGGAUUCAGGGGUAUUUCAGAGAUUGACCGCAUGACUGCUGCUACAUUAACUUCAGUGAUAACUUGCGGUCUAUGGUAGCUGCACUGUGGCCCAGUGAAUCUCUUCACGACUGCCUUUUCUGAGGCCUAUUUCCAACAGGUGUUCUAUGGUUAACUGUGGAAGAAAACAUGCACAGUUUAGAGCUGUUAUCAUUGUAGUGGAAAUUUUGUUAUAUAUUUUGUUGCUUCAAAUUUUGUCUCUCUCCAUUCGUAUGAAACAAUGCAUGUUAUCUGGUCUAUGUGGCCUACACCAUAAAAGCCAAGGAUAUGUAAAUGGCAACAGGGGUUCAGAAUUCUACAAUGGAUUUUAUUUCCUGUAAAACUGCACUUUCCCUCUCUAGUGAAAGAUACUCAUAUGAUGACUUGUUUUGUCUUGUCUUGUGCCAACAUCAGUACCAGAUGCACCAAUGUUGCAGUAAGAAUUCCAACCAAAACUGUCAUUGCUUUCUGGGUACUAUUUUAAAUGUAAUAUUUAUGAGUGGUGCAUGUGUAAGAAAUAGCCAGUUUGGUGGAAGGGUUGGGUACAGUAAAAAAAUGUGUGUAACUCAUGUCACUAUCAUAAUUUAUGUUCAACUUUAAAGGCAGAGUACUGUACUCCAAUUCCACCCCUUCUGACAAGUAUUGUGCAAUGUUAACAGACCUCAUCUGUCUGUAAUGUUAUUUCCUUUAUUUAU